GGAUUAAUUCCAUUUUGGGGCGUCGAGUAGAGCGAAGUAAAAUCGCUAAAUUCUUGGCCGAUUUUUAAAGCAAAAUUAAACAAGAAAUGUUGAAUUCUCGACGCCAAGUAAAAGUCAAAGGUAUGUAAUGUUUGUUUUAUGUGAAGUUAUCGUAUUUUGGCGAGUAAAAGUGUUUGAAAAUACUUGUUGAAGUUGAGAACCGCAAAGCGGCUUCGGCGUAAAUAUGUCGUAUUAGAUUUUCGUCUUGUCCUGGCAUAAAGUCGAUGAAUUUAGCAUCGCUUUUCGUUGUUUUUAGUUUACAGUAGUAGACGUACAUAUCCAUAAAGGAUUCAGUGUGUUUUGUAGCUAAAUUUUGUUUAAAAUUUGUUAUUUUAGUGACGAAGUCGAGUAAAAUCACAUUCUUGCCUGAACUUUGGAAUCAAAAUUAAACCAAAAUUAAAGAAGAAAUGUUGAAUUCUCGACGCCAAGUGAAACUUAAAGGUAUGUAAUGUUUGUUUAUGUGAAAUUAUCGUAUUUUGGCGAGUAAAAGUGUUCAAAAAUUCUUGUUGAAGUUGUGGCCGUAAGCCUGCUCGACCUAUUAAUUUGUCGCCGCAUUCGGUUUUUGUCUUGUCAGUUGUCCUUGUAUAAAGUUGCUGAAUUUUAGUAUUGCCUUUCAUUAUCUUUAGUUUAAAAUAGUAGAACAAUAUAUCCAUAAAGUAUUCAGUGUGUUUUGUAGCUAAAUUUUCUUUAAAAUUUAUCAUUUUAGUGAAAAUUCUCAGCCACGUGAGAUGGCCACGAAGUCAAGUAAAAUCACAUUCUUGCCUGAACUUUGGAAUCAAAAUUAAACCAAAAUUAAAGAAGAAAUGUUGUAGUCUCAACGCCAAGUGAAACACAAAGGUAUAAUAAUGUUUGUUUUAUGUGAAAUUAAAGAAUUUUGGCGAGUAAAAGUGUUGAAAAAUUCUUGUUGAAGUUGUGGACCGCAAGCCGACUUCGGCCUAAAUAUGUCGCAUUAGAUUUUCGUCUUGUUCUGGCAUAAACUCGCUGAAUUUAGCAUUGCUUUUUGUUAUCUUUAGUUUAAAAUAGUAGAAGAACAUAUCCGUAAAGUAUUAAGUGUGUUUUGUAGCUAAAUUUAAUUUAAUAUUUGUCAUUUUAGUGAAAAUUCUCAUCCACGUGGGAUAGGGGAAGUCUAGUAAAAUCACAUUCUUCCCUGAACUUUGGAAUCAAAAUUAAACCAAAAUUAAAGAGGACAUGUUGAAUUCUCAACGCCAAGUGAAACUCAAAGGUAUGUAAUGUUUUUUUUUUUAAAUGAAAUUAUCGAAUUUUGGCGAGUAUUAGGGACCGGUCAUUAUUUAUGGCAGGGGUGGGGGCCGAAGAGAAAAUGGUGGGGUAACUGAAAAAUAAUAGUUGCUUUAGGUGGGGUGGCCAAAAAAUCCUUGCAUGCAGAGGUGGGGUAAAAAAACAUAACCUUACUUUAAUCACACACAAUACAAUAUAUACUACCAUCAGAAUUUAAUAUGUGAUUAUUCUAAUUUUUUAAUAAAAUAUUAUUGCUUUCCAAAAUGCUGACAGAAACACCCCCUCAACCCACCCGUAAAGGGUUAUUUUUAUAUUCAUUUACACACAAAAUCUCCAAAGACUCCAAUUACCAGACAAAAUAUAUACUGCCUAUAUACAGGGUGUAUCAAAAUAAACGCAAUUCAUCUUUUGUGCUUAAUAACUUUCGAAAUACUAUUUCUAGUUAAACGCUUUUAGGCUUACUUCAAAGCCUGUUUUUUUUUCUUUCAAACAAACUAUUAUCCUUGUCUCCAACGCUAGUAAUAAUUGCACAGGAAAAGAUUUAGUAAAACCUAUCAUAUUUAGUUGCUGUUUAAUUAUGCAAGUUUAGUAUGUUAUUGUUUAGUCGGUUUAAAUGUUAGAAUUUUCUUCUUUAAACUUUAAUGUUGUCGUCACUACAUCUGGAAAACCACGUAAGAACAAAUUAAAAGUAUUUUAAAAGAGACCAGGUUGUUUGAAAAUCCUAAACGAAUGCUAAAAAUCAUAGAAUCAAAACAUUCUGGUUUCUGAGCCAAAUUGUAAACAGAAAUUAUAGCAAGCUGAUGUCAGUCAGCUUAGAUGGUCCAAGCCAAAAUUAUAUCGCAUUUGAAGUUUCAAACUGUGUUAAAUAUAGUGGAAGAAAAGCCGUAAUUAUACUUAUUGUUACAAUCCAUUUAUUAAAAUGCAACAUUUUUUUGUUUUAAUGAAAAAAUCAGUUAUUUUCAUGAGAACGAUUUGUUAUUCCAUCUCAAUUUUUUAAUCUCCAAUCGCAAUAACGUAAAGUAUUAUUACCCGCGAACCAAUGAGUCAAAUUUAAGAAACAACCCACUGUUAGAAAGCUGAAUGGCUACGCUUUAAAAUGAAUGUAAACUUUAACGUUUUCGUCUAUUAUUUGUUUAGCAAUUUACAUUUCAGUCGAGGAUUGCGCUUUUUUUGAUACACCCUGUAUAGGGGCUGUUUAUAUGGUGCAACUGCAAGCCAUCCCCAGGGUACCCAAGCUGGCCCAGUUUUGGCAAGAUCCUGCCUUUGUUGUUAUUUCUUACUAAGUUCACCUUGUGUAUAUAUGGGUAAAGAGCGGGCCCAGCUAUAGCUAAGUGAGAUCCCGCCCCUUUAGCCGGAGAUCUUGCUUCAGGAAAAGUGACCUUAAGUCUGUAGCCCCUAACCCCGGGCAUCCAGCCUCACCCCCAUAUAAACAUCCUCUUAUUACAUAUCUCAAAAAGUAUAUGUACAGUCUAUUAAAUUUUCAGGAUUUAAUUUUUGGGCAUCUACACUUGAUACUGCAUAACUAAUAUUUAUAUCCAGUAUGUGCUUGUAAACCAUGUGGACAAUUCAGGUAGCAAUUAAGUCAUGAAAUAUGCCCCAUGCCCCUUGUGAAUCUGGAGAAUCAUUCCAAUGGCUAGUUCACAAUAUGUGCAUCUCUAGCCUUUGGCAACUAGCUGUUUUGCUUUACUAGAAUAAGAUAAAAUAAGAGAAAUCUAUUUACCCGUUUUACAGAUUAAUUUAAUUGUUUAUAUAAUCAUACUUGGAAUUCGGAUGAAUAUCUUUAUCUUCACACUGUAUAACAGCAACUUUUUCUCAUUAAUUUACAGUAACUUUCUAAAUUCAGAUAUUUUCACAUGGGACAAAUACUUUAGUAUCGUUGUAUUGUUUACGAAUUAAAAUAUUAAAUUGAUUUCAUAAACUUCAAGAAUUCCUUGGGAAUUCUUAAGGAAUUCCUUUAAAAUUCUGUGAUAAUACAUGUGAUUGUCUAUAGUAAGGAAAUAUUAAAGGAAUUUCAGAGGAAAUUUUAGAAUUUAGAUAGUUGCAAUCAUGGGUGAGCACAUAUUUUGUGAAACUGUUUCAAAAUAAAAUUGCAUUUUAAUUAAUAAAAAAAUGCAAGAAUGUGAAAGAAACCAAAUUAUAUACAGUGAAACUUUAAAGUGGGAAAGAGAUAGGGUGGUGAAAUACGGUUAGUGUUCUAAAAUAUUGAAGCAUAUGGACUGGUUAAUAUAUGUUUAUGCAUGGGACUAGCAUAUUGCACUAUCUCGUGAAAAGGGAAUAUAGCGUUGAAUACAAACUAUAAAAACCCAUUCAUAUUUAAAUUUUACAAGUAGACAAAUUUUAAGCCUUCAGAUAACUAUAAUUCUUUAUAUAGUACCUUGCUAUUGUAGGGGUAACCCAUAGUAUAAAGGCAUGACUGUUAGUGUGCUUUAAUUACUCCACAAGAAAUAAGGGGCAAGGGAUAUUGGUAAACAAGUAUUACCAAUCAAUCCUAUUCCCUUUUAAUUAUAAUGUCCACUGUGGUCAAAGCACCCUAUAAUAAUUAUUAUUUACUCUCUAACAGCAGAUGAUCUUACUCAUCAAGGGCAAUUUUGUACUUUGAUGAGUAAUACGCAUACAAAAUACUAAACUGUUUCAUUACAUAUUUUAUGUCUGAACCUUUGGCAUUGCAACAAAAUAGGUUUGGGUGGGGUAAAAAAAAAUUCUGGCAUUCCACCAGUGGGGUAGCUAGAAACUUUGUUUCGAAAAAGGUGGGGUAAUGAUUUUUUCCGGCUUCAUUAUACUUUCUCUUCGGCCCCCACCCCUGCCAUAAAUAAUGACCGGUCCCUAAAAGUGUUCAAAAAUUCUUGUUCAAGUUGAGGACCGCAAGCCGGCUUGGGCGUAAAUAUGUCGCAUUAAAUUUUUGUCCCGUCCUGGCAUAAACUCGCUGAAUUUAUCAUUGCUUUUCGUUAUCUUUAGUUUAAAAUAGUAGAAGAGCAUAUCCAUAAAGUUUCAGUGUGUUUUAUAGCUAAAUUAAAUUUAAUAUUUGUCAUUUUAGUUAAACAAUUCUCAUCCACGUGGGAUUAAUGAAGUCAAGUAAAAUCACAUUCUUGCCUGAAUUUUGGAAUCAAAAUUAAACCGAAAUUAAAGAAGAAAUGUUGGAGUCUUGACUUCAAGAGAAACUCAAAGACUGAAUUGAG
rnacentral:lncRNA from 1 species